UACGCAGGGUGCAAGCGUUGUCAGGAAUUAUUGGGCGUAAAGAGCUCGUAGGCGGUUUGUUGCGUCGGCUGUGAAAUCCCGAGGCUCAACCUCGGGUCUGCAGUCGAUACGAGCAAACUAGAGUGUUGCAGGGGAGACUGGAAUUCCUGGUGUAGCGGUGAAAUGCGCAGAUAUCAGGAGGAACACCGGUGGCGAAGGCGGGUCUCUGGGCAACAACUGACGCUGAGGAGCGAAAGCGUGGGGAGCGAACAGG
rnacentral:rRNA from 1 species